UACGGGGGGGGCAAGCGUUGUUCGGAAUUACUGGGCGUAAAGGGCUCGUAGGCGGCCAAUUAAGUCAGACGUGAAAUCCCUCGGCUUAACCGGGGAACUGCGUCUGAUGCUGGAUGGCUUGAAUCCGGGAGAGGGAUGCGGAAUUCCAGGUGUAGCGGUGAAAUGCGUAGAUAUCUGGAGGAACACCGGUGGCGAAGGCGGCAUCCUGGACCGGCAUUGACGCUGAGGAGCGAAAGCCAGGGGAGCAAACGGG
rnacentral:rRNA from 1 species